AAAACACAAAGUCUAUGAAUGUAUACAAAUUUAUAACAAAACAAAACUUUCAACAACGGAUCUCUUGGCUCUCGCAUCGAUGAAGAACGCAACAGAAUGCGAUACGUAGUGUGAAUUGCAGAAUUCAGAGACUCAUCAAAUCUUUGAACGCACCUUGCGCUCCUUGGUAUUCCGAGGAGCAUGCCUGUUUGAGUGUCAUGAAAUCUUCAACCCACCUCUUUCUUAGUGAACUUGGGGGUGCUUGGUUUCAGAGCGCUGCUCUGCCUCGGCUCAUCUCGUUCGUAAUGCAUUAACCUCCGCCACCGAACUUCAGAUUGACUUGGCAUAAUAGACUAUUCGCUGAAGAUUCUAGUUUUACUAGAGCCGAGUUGGGUUAAAGGAAGCUCCUAAUCCUAAAGUCUAUUUUUUGAUUAUAUCUCAAAUCAGGUAAGACUACCCGCUGAACUUAAGCAUAUCAAUAAGCGGAAAAA
rnacentral:rRNA from 1 species